rnacentral:rRNA from 1 species
GAUGAACGCUGGCGGCGUGCCUAAUACAUGCAAGUCGAGCGAACGGACGAGAAGCUUGCUUCUCUGAUGUUAGCGGCGGACGGGUGAGUAACACGUGGAUAACCUACCUAUAAGACUGGGAUAACUUCGGGAAACCGUAGCUAAUACCGGAUAAUAUUUUGAACCGCAUGGUUCAAAAGUGAAAGACGGUCUUGCUGUCACUUAUAGAUGGAUCCGCGUUGCAUUAGCUAGUUGGUAAGGUAACGGCUUACCAAGGCAACGAUGCAUAGCCGACCUGAGAGGGUGAUCGGCCAAACGGGAACUGAGAAACGGUCCAGACUCCUACGGGAGGAAGCAGUAGGGAAUCUUCCGAAAUGGGCGAAAGCCUGACGGAGAAAAGCCGCGUGAGUGAUGAAGGUCUUCGGAUCGUAAAACUCUGUUAUUAGGGAAGAACAUAUGUGUAAGUAACUGUGCACAUCUUGACGGUACCUAAUCAGAAAGCCACGGCUAACUACGUG